rnacentral:siRNA from 1 species
AUCACCUCUCCAGAGAAAAAGCCU